GUCGAGCCCGGAGCCGGGCUCCCGGACGAGGGGUGCCGUACCCGGACAGCGACAAGACGGCCCGUG
rnacentral:ncRNA from 1 species